UGCCAGCCGCCGCGGUAAUACGGAGGGUGCAAGCGUUACUCGGAAUCACUGGGCGUAAAGAGCGUGUAGGCGGGUUAAUAAGUCAGAUGUGAAAGCCCUGGGCUCAACCUGGGAAUGGCAUUCGAUACUGCAGAGCUAGAGUAUGGUAGAGGGAAGUGGAAUUUCCGGUGUAGCGGUGAAAUGCGUAGAUAUCGGAAGGAACACCGGUGGCGAAGGCGACUUCCUGGGCCAAUACUGACGCUGAGGCGCGAAAGCGUGGGUAGCAAACAGGAUUAGAUA
rnacentral:rRNA from 1 species